CAGCAGCCGCGGUAAUACGGAAGGUCCUGGCGUUAUCCGGAUUUAUUGGGUUUAAAGGGAGCGCAGGCCGCCCCUUAAGCGUAUUGUGAAACCCGGGCGCCCAACGCCCGGCCUGCAGCGCGAACUGGGGGGCUUGAGUGCGCGCAACGCCGGCGGAAUUCGUCGUGUAGCGGUGAAAUGCUUAGAUAUGACGAGGAACCCCGAUUGCGAAGGCAGCCGGCGGGAGCGCAACUGACGCUUAUGCUCGAAGGCGCGGGUAUCGAACAGGAUUAGAUACCCUGGUAGUCCGCGCUGUAAACGAUGGAUGCCCGCCGUUGGCACUUGGUGCCUUCGGCCAAGCGAAAGCGUUAAGCAUCCCACCUGGGGAGUACGCCGGCAACGGUGAAACUCAAAGGAAUUGACGGGGGCCCGCACAAGCGGAGGAACAUGUGGUUUAAUUCGAUGAUACGCGAGGAACCUUACCCGGGCUUGAAUUGCUGAGGACGGCGCCGGAGACGGCGCUUCCCUUCGGGGUCUCAGUGAAGGUGCUGCAUGGUUGUCGUCAGCUCGUGCCGUGAGGUGUCGGCUCAAGUGCCAUAACGAGCGCAACCCCUCUCCGUAGUUGCCAUCGGGUCAUGCCGGGCACUCUUCGGACACUGCCGCCGCAAGGUGUGAGGAARGUGGGGAUGACGUCAAAUCAGCACGGCCCUUACGUCCGGGGCUACACACGUGUUACAAUGGCCGGUACAGAGAGUCGUCCGGGCGCGAGCCCGGCCCAAUCCCUAAAUCCGGCCUCAGUUCGGACUGGGGUCUGCAACCCGACCCCACGAAGCUGGAUUCGCUAGUAAUCGCGCAUCAGCCAUGGCGCGGUGAAUACGUUCCCGGGCCUUGUACACACCGCCCGUCAAGCCAUGAAAGCCGGGGGCGCCUGAAGUCCGUGACCGCGAGGAUCGGCCUAGGGCGAAACCGGUGAUUGGGGCUAAGUCGUAACAAGGUAGCCGU
rnacentral:rRNA from 1 species